ACGAGGAAGGGCGUAGUAAGCGACAAAAUGCUUCGAGGAGUUGAAAAUAAGCAUAGAUCCAGAGAUACCUGCAUAGGUCAACCUUUCAAACUGCUGCUGAAUCUAUGGGCAGACAAGAGACAACCUGGCUAACUGAAACAUCUUAGUAGCCGAAAGAAAAGAAAGGGAUUUA
rnacentral:ncRNA from 1 species